UACGGAAGGCAGCAGUGGGGAAUAUUGCACAAUGGGCGCAAGCCUGAUGCAGCCAUGCCGCGUGUAUGAAGAAGGCCUUCGGGUUGUAAAGUACUUUCAGCGGGGAGGAAGGCGGUGGAGUUAAUAGCUUCACCGAUUGACGUUACCCGCAGAAGAAGCACCGGCUAACUCCGUGCCAGCAGCCGCGGUAAUACGGAGGGUGCAAGCGUUAAUCGGAAUUACUGGGCGUAAAGCGCACGCAGGCGGUCUGUCAAGUCGGAUGUGAAAUCCCCGGGCUUAACCUGGGAACUGCAUUCGAAACUGGCAGGCUAGAGUCUUGUAGAGGGGGUAGAAUUCCAGGUGUAGCGGUGAAAUGCGUAGAGAUCUGGAGGAAUACCGGUGGCGAAGGCGGCCCCUGGGACAAAGCUGACGCUCAGGGU
rnacentral:rRNA from 1 species